GACGAACGCUGGCGGCGCGCCUAACACAUGCAAGUCGAACGAGAGAGAGGGAGCUUGCUUCCUCGAUCGAGUGGCGAACGGGUGAGUAACGCGCGAGGAACCUGCCUCAAAGAGGGGGACAACAGUUGGAAACGACUGCUAAUACCGCAUAAGCCCACGGCUCGGCAUCGAGCAGAGGGAAAAGGAGCAAUCCGCUUUGAGAUGGCCUCGCGUCCGAUUAGCUAGUUGGUGAGGUAAUGGCCCACCAAGGCGACGAUCGGUAGCCGGACUGAGAGGUUGAACGGCCACAUUGGGACUGAGACACGGCCCAGACUCCUACGGGAGGCAGCAGUGGGGAAUAUUGCACAAUGGGGGAAACCCUGAUGCAGCGACGCCGCGUGGAGGAAGAAGGUCUUCGGAUUGUAAACUCCUGU
rnacentral:rRNA from 1 species